rnacentral:lncRNA from 1 species
CAUGGUGAUGGUGGCAUGCAUGCAUGCGCAUGAAGGAAGGCAAGGAAGGGCCAGGACAGGAGGGGGACAAGUCCCAGGUAAUCUUUUCUGCCUUGUCUCCCUACCCUACCCUACCCUGCUCGUUGUUAAUCCGUCAUGCAUCAGGGAGGAGACAUGCAUGCAUGCUAUUGCCAUUGCCAUUGCCAUUGCCAUGGGUCCCAAGAUGAUGGAAGGGGAAGGGGAUGGGGAUGCAAGGCUCUUGUGUCUGGACGUGCCUGUCGUCCUGUACUCCGGUCAACGUCGUUAGUGAAUGCAUAUCUUGUUGUGUUAGGAGGAGGAGGAGAAUCAGGUUAGAGUGAUGAUAAGACUGACUGACUGACUAGGUUGUCGUUUGCAGCAAUACUUUUUGUGUUAGGAGAACCAAGAUGCAGCAGCCAUGAUGAAGACGGAGGUUAGGAGAGGUAGGCGGUCCUCUUCCUCCUCGCAUUUGGCCGCGCGCUGCACGGAGCUCAAUUGGUUGGUUGGUCUUAUUACCAUUUGAUUUCAAAAGACAAACCAUUUUUUCUUCUCACUGGAUGAGCGACAAUUCUCACUUCCUCUGGGCUGGGGGUCACAAGAAAGCCAAACGCCUUGGCGGCUGCUACGAAUC